rnacentral:lncRNA from 1 species
GGGGGCUGGCAUUUCUCCCAGAAGUGUUACAAAUAAACACCUGAACACUUUCUCCUUCAGAACCAGAAGGUUUAAAUAGAAUUCUAUUUAGGUUUUUGAAUUGUGACAUAUGUUAAUCCCAAUGAGAGUCUCUGCGUGAAAGGAAUGUUAGCAGAAUUUUAACAUGGUAUUAUGAGGAUAAUUUGCCACUUUGAGUAAAAAUGCUAUACAUUUUCUGACCUUUGGGAGUUUAAACCUAUAGGAAAGAAGUCAACAAACUAUAGUUUGAUGAUCUGAGACCAACCAUUAUGCAUUAAGAGGAGUGGGAGAGAUUAACAUACACAGUGGAUGUGUAACAAUGACGUAUGUGACAAUUCAAAUAAAUGUUUUCGUGUGAAUGUAAAGUUUUCAAUCAGUUGAUUAAAUACCAAGAAACACGAUUGCUGGCUCAUAUAGUAAAGCCCAAGAGUCUUCUUUGAAGUCUUUAAUAUGAACCAUCAAGGCAUAAAGUUAAGGUCACAGAGCUGUUGUCCUUAUAUCCCAGAGUGGAGGUGCAGAAUUCUCACUCUGGUGAAGACUGACAGGAUCAUCUACUAAAUACAAAGGAGUUAAAAUUCUCAGAAAGAAAAAUGGAAUUUUUUUGGAAUUCAGCUAGAGACAUGGAUUUGGAAAGAGAAAGAAAAAAUUAGUCUUUGUUUGUUUGUAAUGGCCAGUUGAUAAGAGAAAAGUGAUCCUAGAAAUUAUAGUCCCUGCUACUCAGUCCUGGAGCCACUGAGGGAAAAAUACAACCGAAACUUUCAAUACCUAAUGAAUUUUCUCCAACUUACGAAUUUGUUAAUGUUAGACGUCACUCAAGUCUGUGAUCCCUGGGAAGCACAAGUAACAACAGCAAUGUGAAAAGAGAAGGUGGAAGCCGACACGGUGCUGACAAGGAAGAAAUGGGCGGACAGAUGUACAAUUCAUUAAGAUAUGCACAUUGCCUCCUACUCUGUAAGAUAUGCUGAGACCACCUGUCUGAAUUAUGCAAGUUAACAGCUUUCCAUAAAUAUAGUUUUACAAAUGCC